GACGUGUACAAGAACGAGGUAGAUCAGCUAAUUGAGUGGUGUCACAGCAACAACCUUGCACUUAGUGUUGGUAAUCCGAAGAAUUGAUUGUGAACUUCAGGAAGGGUCCACUUCAGGAUAAAAGAGGAUUUAUGCAUGGAUCCAGAAGAAGUAUAUGAGCUCCUUAAAGAUCACUUCACAUCAGUCUUCACCAAGAAGGAGGUGGAUGAUGGUGAGGAUAAGGAGAGGAGUUGCCUGAUGCUGGUGGCCGGAGGUGGGGACGCCGUAGGCGGUGAGUGAGGAAGCGGAAGCGAGGCGAGCGGGCAGGAGUCCGUGCCAGGAAAAAAGGGAAGCCCUAGCCGGCUGGCUCGACCAUCCAUUCUGCUCUUCAAUGGACAUUAAAUUGGACUACAUCUGUGGCAACGAAAUACUCAGCGGGAGUACAGACACAGACGGAAUCCCAGACACCAUCAUUCUGUGGUUUAUUUAUGUAACAGAUUUUCCCCCAAACCAUCGGACUACCAACCUACUGCCCUCCGCUGUGCCUAUUAUCUUGUUUAUUAUUUAUUGUAAUGCCUGCACUGUUCUGUGUACUUUAUGCAGUCCUGGGUAAGUCUGAAGUCUAGUGUAGUUUUUGUGUUGGUUUACGUAGUUCAGUGUAGUUUUUGUAUUGUUCAUGUAGCCCCAUGGUCCUGAAAAACAUUGUUUCAUUUUUACUGUGUACUGUACCAGCAGUUAUGGUCGAAAUGACAAUAAAAUGUGACUUGACUUGACUUGACAGCCCACUUGGACCCAUGUGACCAAUUAAUCUACUGACCUAAGGCCUUUGGAAUGUGGGAUGAAACCAGAGUAUGCAGAGGAAACCCACACGGUCAUGGGAAGAAUGUACAGACUCCUUACAGGCAGCACAAAAUGGAAUUCUGCCCGGGGAAUAAUGUGCCUCAGGAAUCUUCUAGACUGCCUUCAUGCUCAUCUUUGUGUCUGUCUGAUUGCAAUCUGUUGGCCAAUAGGAUCACCAUCUGAAAUAUGCUCUGCACAAAACAAUCAGCCUCCUGAUGAUAUUAGCUGU